rnacentral:rRNA from 1 species
AGUAACGCGUGGGUAACCUGCCUUAUACAGGGGAGUAACAGUCAGAAAUGGCUGCUAAUACCGCAUAAGCGCACAGAGCUGCAUGGCUCAGUGUGAAAACUACCGGUGGUAUAAGAUGGACCCGCGUUGGAUUAGCUUGUUGGUGGGGUAACGGCCCACCAAGGCGACGAUCCAUAGCCGGCCUGAGAGGGUGAACGGCCACAUUGGGACUGAGACACGGCCCAG